rnacentral:rRNA from 2 species
AAUUUCUGGUACGAUGCGCCUGAUCCACGUCCGCAAGGACGCGAGUAUCGGAGUGUAUCUGCCAUCCUUCUAGUUAGCUGGCUGUACUUAACUGUGCGGUCAGUGAUCUAGAUCAUUUACUUUGAAAAAAUUAGAGUGUUUAAAGCAGGCUUGCGCUAUGAAUACAUUAGCAUGGAAUAAUAAUUUAGGACUUUGCUUCUAUUUUAUUGGUUUCUAGGGGUGAAGUAAUGAUUGAUAGGGAUAGUUGGGGGUGCUAGUAUUCAUCGGCCAGAGGUGAAAUUCUUGGAUUCGAUGAAGACUAACUUAUGCGAAAGCAUU